rnacentral:piRNA from 1 species
UAGACAAGUUCCAUAUCUUAGGACCUCAGU